CCUUCCCUCGGCUUAUGCGCCGAUUCCAUCGUACUUGAGGGGAUGGGGGGAAGUUGUGGGUUUCCUUGCUCGCCGUGGUGGCGGGUGGGAGCUAAGCGGAGCCCCGGUGUCGCGCGAGCGGUCCCGGGCAGGCCCUCGCCGCGGGACGGGACAGGGAGGAGGGACGGCCGGGCGGGGAGUUCUCGCAGCGCCCUGACUGCCCGCUAAGCCGCCGCCUCCCCCCCACGGCGCGGGCGGUGUGCGCGGACCCACGGCGGCGGCCAGUCCGUGCGGCGCGGCCGGGCGGGCUCGUUCACCUCCUUGGGCUGCGGUAGCUGGAGAGCUGCCGCCGUGAGCGCGGCACGUCGAAACAACCUCUGGCAGAUCAUUUGCUGUCUCUUCUUACUGCAGCUGGUUUAGAUACUGAGGUUUGGAGGAGUCUGAACGAUUUCGGAAGUAAGCGUGUUUUGGCUCAGACCGAGAACAGGAAAAGCUCAUUUAAGGUAAAAUUGAGGGAGACUUUAAGGUACAAUGGAGAGAUAUGGCAAGCACGUAAGUUAAAAAGAGUUGGUGAGAGGAGAGAAGGCACCCGGACUCCCAUGUUGCUGUGGUGUGCAGUCAGACAGACCAAGGACACAAACCCUACAAAGGUCAGUCCAGCCUGGAGUUGUGGAGAUGGGGUCUGAACUCGGGGAGGACAAAGGCAAGGACAGAGGCACACUGGAGACAAAAGAAAGAGGGAGGGGGUGAGCAAGAAAUAGCCCGGGACAUGCAAACAACAGGGAGGCGCAAAGAGAGUACUCUGUGCAUCAUACAAGUCAUCUGAAAGAGAAGGCAACCUCUUUAUUAAAUCUUGUCUGGGAUUGCAUUUUUCUUGCUUCCUGUUGGGUUGGAGAUUAUAUGGCAAAGGUGGAUGGUAUUGGUCACUUUUUCCAAGCGUUACUGUUGAAUAUUUAACUCUUACCUUGAUAUACAGUAACUAACUUUUUUACCAGACAAGGCUUAAAGACAGAAACUAGUGAAUCUCUAAGUGAUAUGACAAGUAAGGAUGUAUCUUUUGAGAGCAGCAGGAUUUUGAUAAAGUAACAUUCCUCUCAACAUGUGUUUUUCCUAGCACAAGUCAUGGGGUUCAGGGGAAAUAGAGCAUAUUCUUUACAAUCAGUGAUAAAGAUGGGUCUUAGAAUGAAUCCCAUUCCAAUCACCUCAGCAAAGAUCAUUGCACACAGUCGUCCACUCAGCUCCUGCACUGAGAACAGCAUGUAGAAAUGGUUAAUGACUUACAGCUUCACAUGGCAACAAUUGAUCACAAUUUCUGAAUAAAAAAAUAUUCACCCUUCAAAUCUGGCCUUCCUGAAAAUUGCUGUUGCCUAGGUAAUGGGAUAUUUUGCAAAUCACUUGGGCCAAAUUAAUCAGAUAAUGUGUAUCUGCCUGACUCUACUGGAGUGGUGCUACACAGCUAUAUACUAAAUGAAGACGUCACCUAACAAUUUCAUGUAACUUAUUAAAACCAGACCCAAGAUUUGUUUAGAACUUUUAGUGAAGCUGGUACGUAUCUGUACUGCCUGACAGCCACUUUGAUGGAAAUUUUUUUCCUUUAUAUAUAUAUAUAUAUAUAUAAGUAUAAUGUGAUUUUAAUACAAUAUUGUUUCUGACAAGUUGAUUUAUUAUUCUGAACUACUGAUAUGGCAUAUACCAUACCACCAUCAUUGUCUGAUCACAGCUCCUUAUGUAAUUCUUAUAGAUCAUUCUUGUAUGUUAUAAUCUCUUUCCAGCUUUGAACUUCCAUCAUCCUUGUCAAGAUCUGGAAGUGCAGCUCAGAAUAUAGCAAUGGCCACAAAUCAGUAGUGGGCAAGUGCCACAGCAAUAUAUUUUAAUAUUUAUUCCUUUCACUUCAGUGUGUAGAACUCAAAAUACGUUGAAUCUUCAUGUAAACUUCUAAAAAGAAAAACGUUUAUUGUUUUUCUAAUGUGGAACCAAAUGUGUAAGAAAAGAUUCUUCAAGAGUGAUCUUGACACUUGAGUGCUACAAAGCUUUCCAGUAUUGGUUGAUGGUAUUGUAAAUCAGGGAGUCUGAUGUGAACAACAUUUCUUAGAACAAGUUUUUUUCCAGACUAGGACCUUUAAAUAUGAAGUUUGUCAUUACACAGCCAUUAAAUUACCUGAUUUUCAAAUGCUGGUUACCCAGGACUGUAUCUAUUCUGCUUUAAAGGUUCAUUCCAUUAAAGGCAACCCAGACUGGAAAGUCACGUCUUAAGGUCCCUUCAUGAGGGAACACCACAUAGGAUGCCCUCAGCCCAUCUCAUAAGCUCUGUCAGCAUCUUCUCUUAAGGACUUUUUAACACUCUCCCUGCACCCCGUCCUAUCUGUAUCAUGAUCAAACAUACCCCCAUGAGACAACUGAUAGUUUCAGAUAACAGUAAGUAUCUCAGAACAAAGUGAAAGGAGCUGAAAAGCUUCUGCCAGGGAACAGAUCCUGAUAACUGAUUGACAGCUGUACCAGAUUGUUAAGCUCUGCUUGGGAGGCCCAUGCAGCCAGUCUGUGCACUGCAUUAGGCAUCCUGAUGGGACAGAGCAGAGAAUACGCCAGAAGACCUGAGCUAUCUUGGUGCUUCUCCCCUGUCAUUCCACACAGGCUGUGCUCAUGAUGGCUUCAACAAUUUUCCAGGAGGCCCCAGAAAUGGCUGGGGAAUCUAAACCUGUCAAUGCCCCCCCAGCAUAGGGAAAUAACACACUGCAUAGGAGCUAGCUGUUCCUGAGGAAGUCAAAUAGCAAAAGACAGGUUUUAAUAUGAGCAUCUAAUAUUUUCUAUCAUCUGUCCAGAUUCAGCAACUAAUACAGAAAAACAGCAGCAUAAUCUGUUACUGAUAUUGUAUAGCAAGUACAGCGGUCUAAAGUUAUAACUCGUCUUAUUCGAUUUUCCCUGUGAUUUUAUAAAAUCACCACAGGAACUUUAAUGAUAGCAAAUGGUUAUAAGGCAAGUUUUGUCUCUCAUCUGAAAGAGAUGAAUCAGUCUACUUUUAUACAAAGUUAAUGUUUAAAUUAUUCACUUCCUAACCAGUCAUCAACAAUAAGUGUUACUUUGCAGCCAGGGGCUAGGUGCACAGACAGGAACUACAAGCCCAAGUGUUUCUGUAAGGUACUUGCAGCCAGCAUUUCGGCACUACUGAUAUUCACAGUUCUGUAGCUCGUUAGCCACUUGCUGCCAUACGAACCUAAAACUUCUAGGGCCCCAAAUGUUUGCUGAUUAAAUCCCAUAGGUACUUCAAUUUCUGCUACCGGGCACACACUUCAUGAAGGGAGAAUCAGGCUUGCCCAGCAUCAGACCAGGGCAUUCGUGAUAAAAUACGCAGCUGAAGACAGCUUUUGUCCCAAACUAUUUUCCUGAGCUUCAGACUGUCUUUCAGAUCCAAGUAAGCCAGUAGAUCUUGAGGACAUCAAUCCUACAGAUGAUUUAGAUGGUUUCAAAGAUGCUCAGAAAUAAAGAAAAAACAUCAUAAAGAAUCUAAUGGAGAUACCUGGAAAUUACUAUUAGGAUCACUGUAUUUAAUUUGAAACCACUUGAAUGAAUAAUUCCAGACUGGCGUUAGAAAUUAGUUUUGCAGUAAGAAGAAGUUGUCUUAAAUUGACACUCACAGGCCUGGAUUAGAGCUCAGCUACAUUUCUAAAUCCAAUUUCUUGUUAUCUUUAAAGUCUGUAUUUGGAAUUGUUUAUGAUUUUGUAAUGAAGACUAUUUUUUGUGCAGCAUACGGAGUGAUAAUGUAAAAGCAGAAAAGAUGAGAAGAGUUAGAAAGUAGCAAGUCAGAGUUCUGAAAAAAAUCCAGACUGAUUUCUUUUAGCUUACAACAUUAUGUAAAGAUUUCAAAUUUAAAAACAGAUACAAAGGUUACUCUAAAUUUCAGUGCACCCAGCUUAACCUCUCAGAAUUCUGCAAGCUUUGGGAAGCAUUUUAGACAGACAACCUAGGAUGAAAGUGUAAUUUCAGUCAAAACAUAUCACUACUCCGAGUUAAUUAAGGAAUGAGUUGCUCAGAGGUAUAAAUUUUCACAAUAAAGUGUUUCACUUACAUUCCACUCCACUGUGAGAGCGCAAUUUUGUACUAUCAUAGUUAUAGUACAAAAACUGUGAAACUUAACAGAAAAGUUAACCGUUGCUAGAAGGCUGUAACAUCUCAUUGUACAUUAAUUUACUGGUAUCUUUUUAAAAAAGGAGCACAGUUUCUAUCAUAUUUAUUACUUCUUGUGAAUGACUUCAAGGGAUGUCAUUCUUCUGAUUUAAAGCAAAACCUGGAGGCUGGUAGUUUGAUUACUAGGAGGAUAGUUCAGUUUCUUUAAAGUGAUUAAGGUUAAAAUCGUAAGCAGCCAAGUUAUUUUUGUACACUGAGCUUUUUAUUUUUUCCUAGUAGUCAUGUAAUAAACCCUUUUUAGUUAUUAGGUAGUUUAGGUGGAGGGAAAAGCUUUGUGUGAACUUCGACUAGAUUGCAGAAAAAAGAUAUCUAAAGAUAUCUUAUAUCUGCAAAAGAUAUAAAAUGAGAGUCAGACAUUGAUUGUAAUUAGGGUACUUAUCUCUGUUUCCACUCCAGAUUGUAUGACAAGUGACUGAAACAAGUCUAUGUCUGCUUUCCCAGUACAAGAACAGCCACAGGAGUAUUAACUUCUAUAUAAUUAAUAUUUUAAAAAUAUAAUAUGCAUGGAAUGUAUUAAAAUGACGUUUUCUGAAUAUAGUUCUCUCUUUACUGCAAGGUUGAACUGCUAAUUGUCUAAAAGCAUUUUUAACAGAGACUUAACAUUACAGAUUAUAGCUUGGUGGGUUAAUCAAUUUCUGCUUUUGCAUUUUGAAGUUACAAUUAAUUUUGGGAGAGUGAAUACUCUAGGAAAUGAAUAUGUAUCAGGGAGGAAAGAAAUCUGUUUCUUACAUUAUAGGCCAGCAAAACUUUGCAAAUUAUCCUGAAUGUUAAAGUGCAUGUCUCUGGCUUAUUUAUGGAAAUACAGUUUGCAUUUAGUCAUAAAAUGUCAGUGAAGUAACCUUUUGACUUUGAUCUGCCUUUUGGGUUAUAACUUAGAAUUUCUCAGUGAUAAUAACUUUCGUGGAGCAUAAGCAGAAAACUUAAGCUAAGUUCUCCAGAAAAUCAGAAUUUAAAAUGUCAAAAACAUAAAGGUGCUUUGUGUUUAAAUUUAUAAUUAUCUUUCUGUUCAGGCUGAAUAAAUGAUUUUGACAGGAGGCUUGAAAUCUUUCUUUCCACAUGUGCUAAGAAGAAUAAUUCAAUGCAACAGACUCAGUAAUAUUUCUGGGAUGGCGGAGGGCUAUAAACAGGCCAGUGUCGUGAUUUUGCACAAGUCCCUGGCUGAUGACUUUGAGAAGUUUUGCCAUGCAAACAAUGGAGCCCUGCCACUGCUGUACCGAAGCAAACCGGGUGAUUGGAAAUGUCCUUCUCUGAGCAGUGAUUCUGAUAUCAGAACUGACUGCCUGCAGUACAGAAUAUAUGAGCACGGAGCUUGCACUGGAUCACUGAAAAGCCUAAAGGAGUAUUCUGAACAACUUAAGGACAUGGUCACUUUUUAUUUAGACUGCAGCUUCUCAUUUGAGAAAGCAGCCCAAAAUGUUGGCAUUCCUGUGAGAUACGUUGAGCAAAAAUGUAAUGUAAGCAUGUAUAAGACAGCUGUGCCUUGCUACAGCGUUUCUACUUUUAGCUGCAACUUAGUAGUCACAAUGAGACCUGUUCCGGAAAGCAAGUUGGAAGCAGCUGUUCAAGCAACAUCUGGGUUAAAAGAAGCCCAUGGAGCACCAAUUCAUAUGGGUGACCCUGGUCUGCUGGGAAUAAAAGAUCUUUCCAAACCAGAUUAUGGAGAUCCAGUUCACCUUCACCCUGGUGAUAUUCCAGUGUUCUGGGCCUGUGGAGUAACAGGAGUAGAAGCCAUCAUCAGCUGCAGAGCUCCAUUAGCAUUUACUCAUUCUCCCAGCCACAUGUUCAUUACCGACCUAAAGAACACUGUCCCCGUCAGAUCCUCAAGAGAAGUCCCACAAGUCCACUGCAUUUCUCAACAUCCUCUGCAGUACAGCAUGGUGUCAGUAGAAGCAGCCCAAAAGAUAAAGACACUGGAGAUGCUAAUUGGAACAGAUCCAGGAGACCGGGGUAUAAUUCAUCUGCACUGCCCGGACGAGCUGCUGAAGGCUUCCCUGUCCCUCUCCCAUGCUCAGUCAGUGCUGAUAACAACUGGAUUUCCUACCCACUUCACUUAUGAUCCACCAGAAGAGAACGACGGGCCCCCGGGAGCCCUUGCUAUUGCAGCCAUGCUGCAGGCCUUGGAGAAAGAGGUUGCCAUAGUAACAGAUCAGAGAGCCAUGAAUCUGAAUAAAAAGAUUAUUGAAGAGGCUGUUCAACUAGGAGUCCUGAAGAAACCUGUCCCUCUAUUGAGUUAUCAAAAUGAAAGUGAUGAUUCAGCUUUAAUGUUUUUGUGUGAGAAUGGGAAUCCUGGAAGACCUAGAUUUGAUCACCUGAUAGCAAUCGAGCGUGCUGGGAUGGCUGCUGAUGGCAAUUAUUACAAUGCCAGGAAAGUUAACAUUAAACAUCUCGUGGAUCCCAUCGAUGAGCUAUUUUUAGCUGCACAAACCAUUCCAGGAGUCAGAACAACAGGUGUUGGAGAUGGAGGAAAUGAAUUAGGAAUGGGCAAAGUAAAAGAUGCUGUAAAGAAGCACAUAAAAAAUGGAGAUGUGAUAGCUUGUGAUGUCGAAGCUGAUUUUACUAUUGUAGCUGGAGUCUCUAACUGGGGAGGCUACGCCAUUGCCUGUGCUCUGUAUAUUCUCAGCACUUGUGAAAUACACGACCGCUAUCUGAGGAAAGCUGUUGGGUUCCCACAGUUAUCGAAGAGGAUGGUCUGGCUGUCAGCGCUUCCAUCGGUGACAAAGAACACCAGUACCUCAUUUAACUUUGUCGCAGCUAAGAACUGAGGUGUUUUACUAGGAAAUAGAAAACAUUUCAUUAUAAAGAGCAUUCAGAAAGCAAGUUACCAAAUCAUACUAAAGUCUCUGCUCAGUGAUCAUGCAAGGAAGAAAAGCUUCUGAAAACACUUGUGCAGCAUGGGGUCCGCAGUGGAAAAACUGCCAGUUUAGAAAUGGAAGUGGAUGGGCUGCCCUUCUACACCACCCACUCACUUCUCAUUGAAAAGCUCCUGCAAGAAGUGCAGCAGUGACUGUGCCCGUGAUUUCUGUAUCAAGAGUUGCUCCCAUGUAAUUUCAUUAUUCCCUGGGCUCUCCUAAGGUCUAAAAGAUCAGAAAAAGAUGACUUUUCCUCUCUGGUGUCUUGGCUGCACAUGACCUUUCAUUGUUACUUUUACAAGAUCUCUGAAUUGAGAGGGGGAUAUCAUUGUGGUGAUUUUGUCUGCCUUUCUUUUCUGUAAUUUUAUAAUGGAUAAUGGAUAUUAAAUGAUAUUAUAUACUAAGAGGUGAUCUGGCUUUUACAAAAAAACUUGUCAUUAAAAGGAAAUAUCACACUGCUGUUCCUGUUUUACUAACCUCAUAACUGCAACAGGAAGUAACUCUUGCAGCAACUCAGAUUUAAAAAUACCUUGUGGUGGGGAAAGCAGCUGCAGUGGAGGGGGGAGGUUCAAAACAAACUACCCCAGUGUUACAGCAGUGAAAGUUGUUAAAUACAGCUCCCACGCACGUGUCAUGGAGCCCCUCCAAUGCUGCUGUCUGAUGGUGGUGGGGAGUUCGUGGAAGUGUGAGGAGAUAAGGGGAGAACUUUAACUGAACUCAUGAAAUGCAGGGCAGCGUUGCAGACCUCCUGUGUAAAGGGUGGGCUGUACCAGUUGCUGCCUUCCUAUUAGUUUGCCAUUUAUAUAUUUUGUCCUUUUCUGGGCAAUACAGAAAAGUUGUAGACACUUCAGGGUACCCUCUUGUUAAGAAUAAAUGAGUUAAAUACGUAAAUAAUGAUUAAAAAUUAAUGCUUAGAAAAUAAAGCAUUAGAAAUUAAAAAUCA